GACGAACGCUGGCGGCGUGCUUAACACAUGCAAGUCGAACGGACAGGCCCUGCUUUUGUUGCUUGCUCGAUUGGCGCACGGGUGAGUAACACGUGAGUAUCCUGCCCUUGUCUUUGGGAUAACUUCAGGAAACUGGGGCUAUUACCGCAUAUGAUCUCCUGCUGCAUGUUGUGGGUUGGAAAGUUUCGGCGGUUGUGGAUGUACUCGCGGCUUAUCCGCUUGUUGGUGUGGUAGUGGCUUACCAAGGCUUUGACGGGUAGCCGGCCUGAGAGGGUGACCGGCCACAUUGGGACUGAGAUACGGACCAGACGCGAACGGGAGGCAGCAGUGGGGAAUAUGGCACAAUGGGCGGAAGCCUGAUGCAGCAACGCCGCGUGCGGGAUGACGGCCUUCGGGGUGUAAACCGAUGUCGCAUGUGACGAAGAGUGAGUGACGGUAAUGGGUAAAGAAGCACCGGCUAACUACGUG
rnacentral:rRNA from 1 species